rnacentral:rRNA from 1 species
CCCUUAGAUGUUCUGGGCCGCACGCGCGCUACACUGACGAAUGCAACGAGCUUAUAACCUUGUCCGAAAGGUCUGGGUAAUCUCCAAAUUUCGUCGUGAUGGGGAUAGAUUAUUGCAAUUAUUAAUCUUCAACGAGGAAUGCCUAGUAAGCGCAAGUCAUCAGCUUGCGUUGAUUACGUCCCUGCCCUUUGUACACACCGCCCGUCGCACCUACCGAUUGAAUGGUCCGGUGAAAUCUCGGGACGGCGGCUUGGUCGCUUGCGUCCGACUGCUGAAACUUGAUUAAACCAUAUCAUUUAGAGGAAGGUGAAGUCGUAACA